rnacentral:rRNA from 1 species
UACAGAGGGUGCAAACGUUGCUCGGAAUCAUUGGGCGUAAAGCGCACGUAGGCGGCCUAGCAAGUAGGGAGUGAAAGCCCUCGGCUUAACCGAGGAAGUGCUUUCUAAACUACUAGGCUUGAAUACUGGAGAGGGUCGCGGAAUUCCCGGUGUAGAGGUGAAAUUCGUAGAUAUCGGGAGGAACACCGGCGGCGAAGGCGGCGACCUGGGUCGAGACUGACGCUGAGGCGCGAAAGCGUGGGGAGCAAACAGG